rnacentral:rRNA from 1 species
AGUGAACGCUGGCGGUAUGCCUAACACAUGCAAGUCGAACGGCAGCACAGUAAGAUCUUGCUCUUACCGUUGGCGGCUGGCGGGCGAGUGACGAAUACAUCGGAAUCUUCUUUUUCGUGGAGGAUAACGUAGGGAAACUUAUGCUAAUACCGCAUACGACCUACGGGUGAAAGCAGGGGAUCUUCGGACCUUUCGCGAUUGAAUGAGCCGAUGUCGGAUUAGCUAGUUGGUGGGGUAAAGGCCCACCAAGGCGACGAUCCGUAGCUGGUCUGAGAGGAUGAUCAGCCACACUGGAACUGAGACACGGUCCAGACUCCUACGGGAGGCAGCAGUGGGGAAUAUUGGACAAUGGGCGAAAGCCUGAUCCAGCAAUGCCGCGUGGGUGAAGAAGGCCUUCGGGUUGUAAAGCCCUUUUGUUGGGAAAGAAAAGCAGUGGGUUAAUACCUCCACGUUCUGACGGUACCCAAAGAAUAAGCACCGGCUAACUUCGUG